rfam:Desulfobacterales bacterium S5133MH4 k99_471724, whole genome shotgun sequence.
CCAAUCCCACCCGGCAAAGCCUAGCCAGCAGCCGGAAGCGAGUCUUGCGUGGUAGAGAGGUAACUCUCUGUGGCGAAGCGUAGACAGCGAGUACGCAGGCCGUGUGAUAGAGCCCCGAAAUCCCCAACGCGAAAGCCGGCGUCUUGACAACAGCGGAAGGCAGUAUCCAAAUACCGUAAUGGCCAGGUGGCAGGAUUUCACCGGGGUCUGAGAACU